rnacentral:lncRNA from 1 species
AUGGGGUGUGAGCCGAACCCCUGCUCCCGGCCCAGCUGCACGGACGCUGGAUCCGUGGGGCCCACCCUGUCCCCAGCUCGGCCACCCCCAGGCCUCCUCACCCCCAGCCUCUGGCUCCGCUGCAUGGAGGCGUCUGAGUUGUUGCAGGUAACGCCGGGCACGGAGCUCCACGUCUGUGCCUGGCAUGCGCUGCCUUAUGAAUUCCAGAAUCUUCUUCAGGGAGGCAGAUUGGGGGAGCCGACAAAAGUCCUCCUGAUAAUAGUCCAUCCAUGUCUCCAGGAUGCAGCAGAUGGCCCUGGGGAGGGACAGGUGGGCACAGGGGUCAGAAGACAGGGCUCCCUCACACCGAGGUGUCCUGGGGAAGCCCUGCAGGACCCGGGGCCUCGGCCUCCCGUGCGGGGCUGUCAGAGGCCAGUCCUGCUCCUCGUCCACCUGCCACCUGGCGGUCCUGCCUGCCACAGGCCUGCUCCCCGAGGAGGGGCUGGCACGAAGCCUCUGUGCGGGGGAGCCCACGCCCAGCGGUGUGACCAUCACGGUCUUUGCUGGGAAGCGGGGCUCCCUCCUCAGCCUGGCUCCCUGCCCACUUGCCCCUUGAAUCCACCGGCAGGCGUCCGGGGAUGGGGGGCGUCUGGCCUGUCAUUGCCCUCACUGCACACACUGUCGCUCUGGGAAGGUCCAAGCCAGGAGGGCUCGGGCUCUGUGUCCUGCCAGGCCUUGCCAGGAGCCACCCGGGACCUCCACUUUCCCUCCCUGUGGCUCUGCGCUGCCUCCCUCAUGAGGGGCCCCGGGGGGUGUCCUUCCACUGACUCUAAUCUGCCGUCUCCCACGGGGCCAGGGCCACCAGGGUCUGUGAGCCCUCAAUGGCCCUCGUGGCAACCUGCUGUGCACUGGGUCCAGGUGCCACCAGAUUGGGGAGUGCGAUGCUCCCCACCCCCUCUGCUCUGGGUCCCAGGUGUGGGGCAGACAGAGGGCUGGGAGGGGCGGGCAUGGAGAAAGUCUCCCUUAGGGGUCCCAGUGCUCUCCCACCAAGCCCACACCCUAUUCACGGCUCUCCUUUCCUCCUUUCCUGAAGGGCCCUUAGACCUUUACCCCGUCACGGGAAUUGCAGAUGUGUGGGGUGAGGGUCCAGCACCCCGGCCCACAGCCCCCUCGCUGCCCUCCUGGAGAGGGAAGGCCCUCGGGCAGGGGCCGGAGUCACUCACAGUUUCCAGCGCUGCAGGACCGCGUCGUCGCCACCACACGCAGCUGCGAUGCACCCAUAUCUAG